CAAAGACAUUCUGUCAUUUUCAUUGUCAUAUAUUCUUUUCUUAUUUUUUAAACUGUAUUAAAAAUUUGAUUUAUGCCUAUCAAUUAUUGAAGAUGUUUUCUCUUUCUACCUAAGGUCAAGUUGAGAGAGAAAUUCCCCUUGGAGGUUUCUGUUGAAAUUUCCACCUAUUCUGGAUAUGAGAUUUCUCCCUUGACCUCUGUACUUCUUGAGGUCAUUAAAAUCUAAGCUUGGCUUUCUUUGGUUUGGCAAACACCCUCAGCAUUUUAAAUAUGUUGUUCCAAUGUCAUCUGUUCUUAAUGGUUUCUGAUGUCACAUCCACCAUCAUUUGAAUCAUUGUUCCACCACAGAAUACCACAGACUGGGUGAUUUAUAAAGAAAAUGAAUUAUUUCUCACAGUUCUUGAGGUUGGGAAGUCCAGGAGCAUGACAUGGAAGCUCCACAGCAGCCUUGAAAAUAAACAGCAUUACAACUACAGUAGCUGUGAAUCCAGCAGCCAAGCAGCCACUGGAGGGCAGUUCUGUCUCUCUUGCUACCUUGUGAAGAAGAAUUCAACCGCUUCGCCUUCCACCGUGAUUACGUUUCCUGAAGCAUUCCUAGCCACGUGGAACUGUGAGUCAAUUAAAUCCUUUUCCUUUAUAAAUUACCCAAUUUCAAGUAUUUCUUCAUAGAAGCUUGAGAAGGAACUAUUAGCCUGGUGCAAAGGUAAUUGUAGUUUGUGCCAUUGUUUUUAAAGUAAGGGUCAAACCUGCAAUUACUUCCACACCAACCUAAUAAUACAUAUACUAUCCAGACUUCUUGGUUUUCAAAAGUUUCUCUGUUGUAAACACUCCAAUGAUAGUAUAAUCGCAUUGCUAUUUUUCUUUUAGAAGUUUAUUUGCCAAAAUCCAUAACAUAGAAGAAGAUAGAAAUAAUUGGUGCUUAAUUGGUUUACAGUUAUAUCAGAGGCAAUCAUAGUAUGAGUGAAGACCUCAUAAGGAUAGAAUCAUAUCAGUAAUGUUUAUAUCUUCUGUGAAUUAUUAUGAAGCUUUAGUGUCUCUAUUUCUCUACUGAAAUGUAUGUACAGUACCUAGUGUUUCCUCCUAAGUACUUGGGCUUCUCCGACCUGCAGCAUAUAGGCCACAAGCAGCCCAGCGCAGCUUUGAAUGUGGCCCAACACAAAUUUAUAAAUUUUCUUAAAACAUUAUGAGAUUAAAAAAAAAUUUUCUUAGCUCAUCAGCUAUUGUUAGUGUUAGCACAUUUCAUGUGUGGCCAAAGACAAUUCUUCUUCCAGUGUGACCCAGGGAAGCCAAAAGAUUAGAUACUCCAGACUUCAGUGAUUGAAUAUAAAGGACUAUUAAAAAGGUUCUUCAUUUAGCACUCUAGACAGGAGGACAAUUUAUUGCUAAAAUUUUCAGUUUACCGAUUUUAUUUUAUAGCUGCUUUGUCAAAGUUUACAUAUUUUUAAGAUUUUACAAAGCAAUUGUAUGUUAAAUAAAAUUCAGAAAGCAAAUAGAAUAUUAAUAUCUCACAUUAUAUAAUAUAUAAUUUAUACACAGGUAUAUAUACACACAAAAUAUACAUAUAUACAUAUAAAAUAUAUACAUAUAUGUAUACAUUUUUAUAUAUACAUAUGUAUCCAUAUACAAAUAUAUAUACACAAUAAAAUGUACAUAUACA
rnacentral:lncRNA from 1 species